CACAACUACCAGAGGAGAGAGCCCAGCAGGAGCCCACAGAGCACCGACACCCUCCAGGCCUUCACGCGCUGCCUGGAUGAAGAAAGUAUCGUGCUGCCGUGCGUUUUGUUUGCAGCCUCGGUACGCGCUUUACACUAAGUGAUGAGUUGCUGACAGCAGGAAGAGGCAGAGGGAGGACAGCUGCUCCAGAGGCCCUGAGGAGCCUCCUGAGAGAAGACUCCGUGGGGAUGCUGCCGUCCUGUCACAGCGUAGCUCCAUCCCGCAGCCCUCCACCUCUUCCUCUACCCCACCACAGGCCAGGCAGGAGGAUGUCCAGCUGGAGGUUCAGUGUCCGAGAGCAUCAUGGCCUGGAUGUCUGACUGUCCAUUCAGCCGGGAGAUGUGAGACUCCUGCAGGAAACAGGCCUGGUGCAGAGCUCCACUGCUGGACCAGCCAGUAGCUGUGACAGGACCACACACACACAAACACAUUUUUAGUUUUACAUUUUUAAUUCUUUAUUACUUUAUAGAUAAGUUUUUAAUAUUUCUCUUUUUAGUAUGUUGAUAAGUUUUACAUUGUGAAGGCACCUCUCUAACUUCUGAUAUCAAGUUUGCUUUUGCCUGUUACUGUUUUCCCUUUUUCCUUGAAGGUAUCACAGGAACACGUUUGCGACAGACCUGGUCCGAGCCUCCCAGGGACUAAAAGCCACUCGAGUUGCUCUGGUCUCUCUUUUCACCUGGACUCACCGCUGCCAGCAUCUGUACACUUUGACCUUUGUCUUUUACUGACGGACAC